rnacentral:snRNA from 1 species
GUGAUCACUUCGGCAGCACAUAUACUAAAAUUGAAAUGAUACAAAGAAGAUUAGCAUGGCCCUUGCACAAAGAUGACACGCAAAUUCAGGAAGCGUUCCAUAUUAAA